rnacentral:rRNA from 1 species
CCCUAGUAACGGCGAGUGAAGAGGGAAGAGCCCAAGUUUGAAAGCUGGCACCUUCGGUGUCCGCAUUGUAAUCUCGAGAAGUGUUUNCCGCGCUGGACCAGGUACAAGUCCCUUGGAAUAGGGCAUCAUAGAGGGUGAAAAUCCCGUACUUGACUUGGAACCACCAGGGUUUUGUGAUACACUCUCCAAGAGUCGAGUUGUUUGGGAAUGCAGCUCAAAAUGGGUGGUAAAUGCCAUCUAAGGCUAAAUAUCGAGGAGAGACCGAUAGCGAACAAGUACCGUGAGGGAAAGAUGAAAAGAACUUUGAAAAGAGAGUUAAAAGUACGUGAAAUUGCCGGAAGGGAAGGGUAGGGAGUCAGACAUGCUGCUAUUAAUUCAGCCGUACCUUUGGGUUAGGUGUAUUUUAGUAGUGGCAGGCCAKCAUCGGUUUGUGCCGCUGGAUAUAGGUUUGAGGAAUGUGGCUUAUGCUUCGGUAUAAGUGUUAUAGCCUCUUACUGAGUACAGCGGCGUGGACCGAGGAACGCAGCGCACCCGCAAGGGCGGGCCUUCGGGCACCUUUGCGCUUAGGAUGC